rnacentral:rRNA from 1 species
ACGUUAGCGGCGGACGGGUGAGUAACACGUGGGUAACCUACCUAUAAGACUGGGAUAACUUCGGGAAACCGGAGCUAAUACCGGAUAAUAUUUCAACCGCAUGGUUCGAUAGUGAAAGAUGGUUUUGCUAUCACUUAUAGAUGGACCCGCGCCGUAUUAGCUAGUUGGUAAGGUAACGGCUUACCAAGGCGACGAUACGUAGCCGACCUGAGAGGGUGAUCGGCCACACUGGAACUGAGACACGGUCCAGACUCCUACGGGAGGCAGCAGUA